AGUUCUGUGGAUACAUAGUAGGUGUAUAUAUUGGUUUGAAUGUGUCCCCUAAAGUUCAUGUGUUGGAAACUUAAUCCCCAAUGCAACAGUGUUGAGAGGUGGGACCUUUAAGAGGCAAUUAAGUAGGUGAGAGUUCUGUCCUCACGAAUGGAUUAAUCCAUUAUCUUGGUAGUGGGUUUGUUAUCAUAGGAGUGGGUCCAUUUUGAGAACACUCGCAGACCUUGUCCAGAGGAAAAGAAAUUAGAAAACUUGGAAGAGACUGAUGGAGUAGUCAAGAAAGGAGGAGGAGACUUGGAGGGUGCAGAGGAAGGGUUUCAGGAUCGGAGUGGGGGACAGUGUAAAAUCUCUCAGUUUGGAGAGACUAAAGUUUAUUGUGUAUUUCCUGUUUUCUACACUACACCAAGCUUGUAAAACACCAUUUCAUUUAACCUGACAGCAAGCCAGCACCUGGGAGAAGGCCACAACCUC
rnacentral:lncRNA from 1 species